rnacentral:lncRNA from 1 species
AUUCUGAAAAUUCUAGGGCCCUUAAGUAUUUGGGUAAAUCGACUCUGCCUGUGCUCUAUAAAUGGAACAGCAAAGCCUGGAUGACAGCACAUCUGAUUGUAGCACGAUUUAUUAAAUAUUUGAAACCCACUGUUGAGACCUACUGCUCAGAAAAAAAGAUUCCUUUAAAAUGUUACUGCUCGUUGACAAUUCAUCUGGUCACCCAAGAGCUCUGAUGGUGAUAUAAAAGCUGAUGAAUGCUGUUUUCAUGCCUGUUUAUGCCUGCUAACAUAACAUUCAUUCCACAGUCAUGGAUCAAAGACUAAUUUCAACUUUCAAGGUCUUAUUACUUAAGGAAUACAUUUCGUAAGGCUACUGCUGUCAUAGAUAGUGAUUUCUCUAAUGUAACUGGGCAAAGUAAAUUGAAAAUCUUCUGGAAAGGGAUUCAUCAUUCUAUUGCCAUUAAGAACAUUUGGGAUUCAUGGAAAGAGGUCAAAAUGUCAACAUUAACAGGAGUUUGGAAGAAGUCAAUUUCAAUACUCAUGGAUGGGUUCAAGUUUUCAGUGGAGAAAGAAACUGAAGUUGUGGUGGAAAUAGCAGGAGAACUAGAAAUAAAAGUGAACCCUGAAGAUGUGACUGAAUUGCUGCAAUAUCAUGGUCAAACUUGAAUAGAUGAUGAUGUGGUUUGGCUCUCUGUCCCUACCCAAAUCUUACCUUGAAUUGUUAUACUCCCCAGUGUCAUGGG